CAGUCGCCGCGGGAAUACGAGGGGGGCAAGCGUUGUUCGGAAUUAUUGGGCGUAAAGGGUGCGUAGGCGGUUCAGCAAGUCUCGUGUGAAAUCUUCGGGCUCAACCCGUAGUCUGCAUAGGAAACUACUGGGCUUGAGUAUUGGAGAGGUGAGUGGAAUUUCCGGUGUAGCGGUGAAAUGCGUAGAUAUCGGAAGGAACACCUGUAGCGAAAGCGGCUCACUGGACAAUUACUGACGCUGAUGCACGAAAGCUAGGGGAGCAAACAGGAUUAGAUACCCCCGUAGUCCCUGUCUCUUAUAC
rnacentral:rRNA from 1 species